rnacentral:rRNA from 1 species
CCUACGGGUGGCAGCAGUGGGGAAUAUUGCACAAUGGGGGAAACCCUGAUGCAGCGACGCCGCGUGAGCGAUGAAGUAUUUCGGUAUGUAAAGCUCUAUCAGCAGGGAAGAAAAUGACGGUACCUGACUAAGAAGCCCCGGCUAACUACGUGCCAGCAGCCGCGGUAAUACGUAGGGGGCAAGCGUUAUCCGGAUUUACUGGGUGUAAAGGGAGCGUAGACGGCGGUGCAAGCCAGAUGUGAAAGCCCGGGGCUCAACCCCGGGACUGCAUUUGGAACUGUGCUGCUAGAGUGUCGGAGAGGCAGGCGGAAUUCCUAGUGUAGCGGUGAAAUGCAUAGAUAUCACGCAGAACCCCGAUUGCGAAGGCAGCAUACCGGCGCCCUACUGACGCUGAGGCACGAAAGUGCGGGUAUCGAACAGGAUUAGAUACCCUAGUAGUC